rnacentral:rRNA from 1 species
CCCUUAGAUGUUCUGGGCCGCACGCGCGCUACACUGACUACUUCAACGAGUUGUUUCCUUGAUCGAAAGGUCUGGGUAAUCUUUGAAAGGUAGUCGUGAUGGGGAUAGAUCCUUGCAAUUUUUGAUCUUCAACGAGGAAUUCCUAGUAAACGCAAGUCAUCAGCUUGCAUUGAUUACGUCCCUGCCCUUUGUACACACCGCCCGUCGCACCUACCGAUUGAAUGGUCCGGUGAACCUUUAGGACUGUGGCUGAGGCCUUGCCUUGUGCGGGUCUGGCCGUGGGAAUUUAGUUAAACCUUACCAUUUAGAGGAAGGUGAAGUCGUAACA